CAAAGUCCUGAGUCUCCACUUUUCUUAGCCGAUUGAACAGAUUCAUAUAAUCAAUGCACAAUCGCAGGAUGCUUUCGUUCUUACUCAUCGUCUGUCUGAUGCUUUCUGGAGCUGAUUCACGUCAUCACUACGGAUGGAAAUCGUCCUCGAGCGAUGAGGGGAUUUACUUCCAUCAUUACCCUGUACAGCAGCCUACUUGGUUUAACCUCCUGUGGAAGUUCUGUCCAUGGAUUAUACCUGGCCCCGCCCCUGCUCCAGGCCCCGCCCCCAGUCCUGCGCCCACACCUGGACCACCCACUACCACUUCGAACCGCGGAGACAGCGGUUAAAACUCGUCUAGACUCGGCUCUGUCCUGAACAAGUUACAGAAAAAGCUCUGAGUUCAUGACCAAGAAGGUUUAUAAAAUAUUUAUUUUUUUAAUAAACGCAGUAGAGAUGAUGAUGCGUAAAAUAUCGAGGACUGCAGAACCUCAGUAAUAAGCGUUACACUCGUAGAAACUCAUACACUCAUCAGUCGCUUAAGGACAGAUUGGACAGUUUGGAUUUUUUUUUAAUAUAUUUAAAUUAAAUUGAAUUUAUUUUUCACCACAACAAAACCAUUUUGACAGGUUUCCCUAAUCCCCAGUCCACUCCAAACAAACUAACAACAAACUAAUGUAACUGAGAUUUAAAAAAAAUGAAGCAAACACAAUAUUCAGAUUUAUUUUUCAAAAAAUAUGCGAGGAUUUCUCAAGCACAUGUACAAUCACAGUCCCACAGUGUCCUCGUGUGUGUGUGUGUGUGUGUCCUUGUGUGUGUGUGUGUGUGUGUGUGUGUGUGUGUGGGGUAUUCAGUAUUCGAGCACUUUUACAGCUUUUAUUGAGGAAACUGAAGCAAAGUGAGAACAAAAAAAAUUUCUUAUAAAAGUGUUUUUUUUAUUUCCUUACUGUACGACAGUGAAUCUGAGAGAAGUGACUCCGCUUUAAAGUCAAGAACAAAUAUUGCUUUAUUACAUUUUAUUCCUCUUUGCUGCUCUUUAGUUAAUUGCUAUACUUGUUUCAUUUCAGUAUUUCUGAACACAUCUUUGCUUUUACAGAAUUAUUUUAUUAGCAUUAUGAACAUCGAGAAAGUGUUACUGAAAUCAUUGAUUUGUCUCCUUUAUUACUGCGUUUGUGUGUUUGUUAGGUCUUGGUCAUGAAUUCAGACUUUUUUUUUACUGUAUACAAUCACUCAGUGUGUAGAUUCCACUUUAAUAUCAACAAUAAAG